GGGAAUUUUCCGCAAUGGGCGAAAGCCUGACGGAGCAAUGCCGCGUGGAGGUGGAAGGCCUACGGGUCGUCAACUUCUUUUCUCGGAGAAGAAACAAUGACGGUAUCUGAGGAAUAAGUAUCGGCUAACUCUGUGCCCG
rnacentral:rRNA from 1 species